AUGGCAAGUGCACCUGACCGCCUUCUUCAAGUAAUCAACUACACACCGGUGGGGGCAGCGACUACCAGAUAAUGUGCUAGUGACGGUCUAGCAAAGAAAGGGCGGCAACGAGAAGCAGAGAGGACUGAAGAGAAGGGGCACUCAGGCACCAAAAGAAGUAAUUCAUUUUGCCAAAUAAAUUGUAACUUGUCAUAUCACCCAUGCCUUCAUACUCCUCAUCCUUAUUAGCCUCAUCUUGUCAUCUAAAAUAAAAUACAAUCAAUAAAUAGGAAUAACAAAAGUACUGAAACAACAAGAAAAGGUACAGUUAUAUAACUAAACUUACAUACCUUGAGAUCUUAUAAUACCCCCUUCGUUCUCAUAAACUUACGCUGAGGCCUGGCCUUAGUGCACCUCGCGCCUCAAGCGUGCAUUUAAAACCCAGAGAUCAACAAAGAUAAAAAAUGGACACAGUUAUUUCUUGUAUAAACAUCAACUGUUAAGAUUAAAAAAAAUAACUCAUCCUCUUGUAUUU
rnacentral:lncRNA from 1 species